UCAGUUUUCAUUUCGACGUUAUUUUGAACGGCGGUUUUUAAUGUUAGUUGCGCAAAACGAAAAGAAAAAAAAAGUUAACUCUUUUUUUCCUUUUGUAUUUUUGUACUUUUAUUGUUUAUGAAGUUUUGUUUUUGUCAUCGUAUGUUGUGGAAAAAUUCGUAUUUAAAAAAAAGAAGAAAAGUUUUGCAUUUACAGUGUUUUUGUUUUUUUUUUUUAAUGUAAGAAGAAAUUUUAUUUGUGUUUUUCAGUUUAAAAUUAAAAAAAUUAAUAAAUAAAUGAAAAAUUAAAAAUGUAGAAAAAAAAACCUAUUUUGGAAAAUGUUUGAAUUUUGUGUCUCAAAAGUGUUAAUUUUGAAAAUUAAAAUAAAUAUUGAGCGGCAAUUUUGAAAAUAUUGGAAGAUGAUUAAAAAAAAUAUUGAGUAAAAAUUAAAAGAAAAUUUAAAAAAAAUUAUAAAAAAAAUAUAUAAAAAAAUAGUGAAUAAAUUUCUAAAAAAAAAUUAAAAUAUAAAAAAAAUUAAGAAAAAUUAUUUUUAAAAUUUUUAGAAUUUUUUACUAAAUAAUUAAUUAAUUUAGUAAUAAAUUGAAAUUGGGAUUACCAGAUCAGACUGAUUGCAACUGUCACCAGUUUUCCGUUCUAUACAUACGAGAAUCGGCAUAAAAAAAGAUUAUCGUAGUCGCUUAUAUGAAGAGUACGUAGAGAAAAAAACAAGUAAAAUAAAAAGGAAGUCACUCAGUUGUCAAUCGGAAUAAAGUGCAACCAAUUAAUUUCUACUCCUCUAUUUUUUCCUCCAAUACAUUCCAAAUUCGCAAAAAGAAAAACUUGAUUUCGAAAAAAAAAUCAAUUAGAAAUAUCGAGAAAUACAAAAAAAAAGGAAAAUUAAUUUUUCUUAAAAACUUAUUUGGAGUGAAAUCAUAAAUUGGUUGGUUACUUGAACCAUCUAGUAGCCAGAAAACGAUUUAAUUACCAUCUUAUGUACAAGAUAUGGUAGUUAUUUUCAAUGAAAAAAAAUACCACUUAACUAAGUUGCAUUUUUUUUCUAUAAACAAUUAAGUCCAUAACCAUAUUAAGCAAAAAAAAAAAAACAAGAAGGAAAACAACACAAAAAAGAAACAAAAAAAAAUUAAGAAAAAUGAUUUUUUCAUAUUUUCCAUCCGGAAAAGUUACUUGCAAUAAAAUAAUAACCGCAGAUGGUACUACUUAUAUAAGGAAGCCCUGUUCCUGAUGAUUAAAACCAAACGCAAUCGAUUCGAUUAAAAAUUUGAAAGAAAAAAACUCAGAUAACAAACCGUAGUGAAUUUUUGAUUAUUUUCAAUAAAAUAAGAUUUUCAUUUGUUUAAAAUAAAAAAAAAAAAUAAAGAAAAAUAAAAAUAAAAGAAAAAUUAGAGUGAAAAUUUAUGAUAAAAAUGUUAAAAAGAAGAAGUGAAGCAUUAAAAUCAUACAAAAAAAAAGAAAAAAAGUAGGAAAAAUAAUUUUUUAAAAUAAAUAAAUAUGCGAUGUUUAUUUAAAAGAAAAAUGUGAAAAAAGUGAAUAAUUAUUAUUUUUAUACCGUAUAAUUUGUUGGGAAACUUUCACGAAUAUCACGAGUUUUAAUUAAUGACAAAAAAAAUAUUAAAAAAAUUUUUUUUUUCAAUUAAUUUUUUUCGUUAGCAACAUUUUAUUGUAUUUAAAAAAUAUUCUAUUAAAAUGGAUAAAAUUAACUCAACUGUCAGCGAUAGCAUCAAUAACAAUAACAAUAAUAACAAUAACAGCAGUAGUAACUUGAACAACAGUAAGAAUAACAGUAAUAAUGGUAGCAGUAAUAAUGUCAAUAAUAACAACAAUAAUGAAGGAUUACCAUUUUGUUUUAUAAGGGUGAGUGUUUAUUUGUUAUCUUACAAUUUGUAAUUCAAGAUUACAAAAUAUUUGUGAAAGGUUUGUGUUUUUCGUUUAAAAUUUUAAUUAACAGAAGAUUUUAUUUUUUACUUUUUGAAUUUUCUUAUAAAUUUUUGUUAUCGUAACGUAGUAAUUGUAUGAUAUAUCGUAAAUAUGAAACCAAGUACUAUAGGUCAUUAGAAAUAUUGUGAAAAAUGUCGUUAAUUAGUGUAGAAAUUAAAACUAUUGUAAAAAUCACAUAUUUUCGAGAAAAUUAUUAUUAGAUCUAAACGAAAAUAAUUAAAUAAUAACUGCGAGUAAAAAAUCUUAAAAUUUUCUAUGACAAUUUUUUCUUUUCAGAAAAUGAAUCCAAAUCGUAAGAGAUGAUCGUUAUUUUGGCUUUAGAAUACUAAAAAAUAAAUUCAAGCGUAAAUGCUCGGCGUAAAAUUUAAAUAAAUCUAAAUGACAUUAAAUUUAAGUGAAAGAAAUUUCAAGGAUGUAGUCCAAGUUUAAAUCAAAAUUCAACCAUUUUUCUUACAUUCUUACCAAAAAAAUUGUUCAAAUGCAAUUGAUGAAAUUUUAGUUGUUCUUGUAUAAAGAAAAGAAAAAUUAAAUUAUGUAUUCCGCACAUAUGUAUUUCGGGCCAUGUCUAUAAAGAAGGAUAUGAAAAUUCUUCAAAAUAAAAGCAUUAAAAACCUAUUUAAUCGCAAUCACAGAACAUUAACCAAAUUACUAUUCGAGUUAAUAAAACCUGUAUUGCCAAAAUGGUUUGAAAAAAUAUGCUAAUUUUACCCAAAAAACAUGCCUUAAUAUUUAACUUGUAAAAAAAUGAAAAUAGCUUCUUUCAGGGCUAAAUAAACAAAAUAACAUGUCAAUUAAGUUUCCAUUUGAGCACAUUAUAUAAAAUUAAACUCAUAUUUCUUAUCUUAAAUUAGUUUAACAAAUUUGAAGUAUUUCAAAGAUGUACACAAGCUUUUUCAAUAAAUUUACUUCCUGAAUAGAGUGCUUUUAUUAUUUUUAAUGAAAUUCAAAUGUCAAUUGAAACAGUUGUCAAACCAAAAUAUAUUAAAAGGUUGAACUGUGACAUUUUGACAUUUUUUCAAGACAAAAACAUUAUUUAGAAAAAUAUUAAGUACCUGUUCCUCCUAGAGUGAAAACCAAAAGCAAAAUAUUAAAUUUUUUAGUAGAAUAAUUUUUCAAUAAAAAUAUGCGUUCUUACCUCAAUUGGAAAAUUUCAAAAAAAAACAUGCAUUUUUCCACAAAAAUAUUCCACUUUGACAACACUGACACGUGCAUUAAAAAUUUUUAUAACCUGCUUAUUGUUAAAUUCUGUCCAGCUCGAGGAAAAAAAUUUUUUAAUUUUUAGGCCUUUAACUUUUUUAUUUGAUUACGUCAUCCAUCUGUUCUGCAGUUGCAUGAAGAAGUUUCCUUUAAAUUAAUAUUAUUAGUGUAAUAAGCAAUUAUUAGUAAAUUCAUAAUUAAAUUCUGCGUUCUACAUUUCCGCCCUUUGCAUUAUAAAAAACGGUAAUAAACCUAGUAUAUUGAUCCUCAUCACUCCAAAGAACAAGUUUUUGCAAGAAUUCUUAUUCUUUAAGGUUUUUAAGGGAGUUAAGGUUUUUUUCUGAUAAAGCUUUUAAACAAUUAUACCUGAUCCAAACCAGUUAAACCUAAUUUAAACAAUUAUACCUGAACGGGUCUAGUAAAACAUUUUUAUGGCGUUUCUUUAGUAAUUUUUACCAGCAUUUUUCUCGAAGAUUUAAGAGGAUCUUGCUUGAACUUUUGGCUUAUUGACAAAAAUUUUCCUUCAUAUUAUAAUUUUCCGCCUGAUGUUCCGAUUAAAAUAAAUUACAUUAUUUAAAAUCAGAUGAAUUGUAUUGUAUUGUCAAUUUUGGCGGAUUGAUCAGUAAAUAAUUUUACUAGAUUAUUUUUUUUUAGUUUCAAAAGUAGACCUUUUGAGGAAGUUUAUUCACAACGGACAAAAGAUUUACUUGUUUUAAAACAUCUAUUAAAAAAAAGAGGUUAUUUGUGUAUUCAUAUUUUGCCAUUACCUUAUACUAAACACUUAAAUAAACAAAUUUAGAUAUUUAUUAAAAAAACUUUUCGCUUAUAGUCAGUUUAUAAAUAAACAUGUAACUGUACAUUGAGACCAUUACAAGACAAUUUUAUUCCAUUUUAUAAAGCAAAUAUGCAAAAUUUACCACGCAACUAAUAUUCUCUCUAGGUAUUUAAGUACAAUAUACGGUACAGAAAUAUAUAGUUACACAAAUACAAAAUCGAACAAUAACAGAACCUUAAAUUUAAUAAUGUUCUUAAAACCUAAAUAACUAAUGAAUUUUGACCUGCAUUAAUAAUCAAAUAUCGAUUGAUUUACUUAGCUAUUCUUUUUUAUUAAAGAGCUAACA